CUAACGUUAGCACAUCACGAGCUAACCAGCUGAUGUGGAUGACCUGUUGACAGUUAGCAUGUAGCUGAUGUCACCAGACUUCAGUCUCUCUGUAGAUUUUAUAUGUCGUCACUUUUUGCGUUAGCCAUUGGUAGCUAAGUGCUAGCUAACUCUAAAUCUCUAUUAAUUGUAAGUUAGCUAACGUUAAAUCUGAUUCCAUUUGAACUCAUAUGUAGCAUUUUGCUCUGUAGCUAAUUAAUGUGCUAAUUUACAUCAGUGGUUAAUUAGCAGAUGCAGCUAACGCAUAGCUAACACUUGUGAUGAAGGACUUAAGGUGGACUUAAGGUGGACUUAAGAGUUCUGCCUUCGGAUUAAUGUAACAUGUUGUUGUGAUGUUGGAGGAGGUUGUUGAUAUUUUCUGUUGAGGUCAUAAACAAAUCACCCACACACACACACACACACACACACACACACACACACACACACACACACAGAGUCGGUGUGUUUCUAAAGAACUAUAUUUACAUAAUACUCUUGUUUUACAGAGAAUAUCAAAAGUAGAAAAUACUUACAAAACAUCAGCUGCAAUAUAUAAAAAUAACUUCUAUCUUCUCCACGUCAUUAGGAAAGGCUUACAUACAAAAAAUAUAUUUAUAGACAUUUACACAGAACCUGACCACAACGGGUCAACCCAGAGAGCCCGGCAGGCUGAACCACUCUGGAGGAAGAAGAACCGGCAGGACAAAGACGGGAGAACCGCCCCGAGACACGGAGAGCAACGGAGAACACAGAACCAGUCCAACAGUACAGCAGAUAGAGACCGGGUCACAGGUCCGCCUUAAAACACGACCACCGGGUCACAGGUCCGCCUUAAAGGUCGCUCACAGACUGGCGUCAGGGUUAAAGGUCAAAGUUCAGACGGGGAAUCAGACGAUGAACAUCGGCGUCACGAGAACCGUGUGGACUCAACUCGACACCGCGUCGAUGUUCAGCGUCGACUCGCUGUCUGAAGUUUGAAACAGUGACAAAGGUUCUGAGGUCAGAACCAGAACUUUGAUUAAAUACAGUGAGACAGUUUAAAGGGUUCAUGUCCUGUUUCCUGUUGGUCUGACAGGAAGUGGAAAGGUGUCAGCUGACCAGAGUUUAACGCUUCAUGUUGAUGUGUUGUCUGUGCGCUGUCGGUAGGUUGUCUGUAGGUUGUCGGUAGGUUGUCUGUAUGUGGGUAGGUUGUCAGUAUGUCGCCGGUAGGUCGUCUGUAGGUCGGUAGGUUGUCGGUAUGUCGUCGGUAGGUUGUCUGUAUGUCGGUAGGUUGUUGGUAGGUCGUCGGUAGGUCGUCUGUACGUCGGUAGGUUGUCUGUAUGUCGUCUGUAGGUUGUCGGUAGGUUGUCUGUAGGUCGUCUGUAGGUUGUCGGUAGGUUGUCUGUAUGUCGUCUGUAGGUUGUCGGUAGGUUGUCUGUAGGUCGUCUGUAGGUUGUCGGUAGGUUGUCUGUAUGUCGUCUGUAGGUUGUCGGUAGGUUGUCUGUAGGUCGUCUGUAGGUUGUCGGUAGGUUGUCUGUAUGUCGUCUGUAGGUUGUCGGUAGGUUGUCUGUAGGUCGUCUGUAGGUUGUCGGUAGGUUGUCUGUAUGUCGUCUGUAGGUUGUCGGUAGGUUGUCUGUAGGUCGUCUGUAUGUCGGUAGGUCGUCUGUAUGUCUGUAGAUUGUCGGUAUGUCGUCUGUAGGUUGUCGGUAGGUUGUCUGUGUCCUGACACUCGCACAGGUCAGAAGAUGUCUGACGUUGUUGUAAUGUUACUGAAACGUUAGCGUCAGAGUGUCAGCCAGCAGGAAGUGGAAACAGGAAACAGAAAUGUGUGGAUGACUUUCAGUCCGUCAGUUUGUAAACUUCAGAAUUUAAAAGGAACAAACCGUUUCUGCACGUUUUUCUAACGUUCCUCCAACGUUCGCUCAUGAUCUGACUGAAACCAAAGUCGACCUUGACACUCGAGAACAGGAAGUGGGCGCUGACACGCCGCAGGUCAUUUCCAUAAACAAAACAAACAUGGCGUACUGUCCAUAUGUAAAUAUUCCGUCUGUGCAGCGGCGUUCGUUUGCUCAUUUGCAUACACGAAUAUUGAAAUGAGGUUCAGUCAUGAGAAACUCUUUGGACAGUCAAACGUGCAGAAACAGCAGAAUGGCCUUUAAAUGACAUUUAUUAAGCUCCGCCCCCUUUGUCUACGCUCCAAUCACAGCUGAGCAAGCCUCAGUCAACUUCCUGUACUUAGAUAUGCUACAUGUUAGCCACGCGUUAGCUGAUCACUAGCAUAAUGUUAACACUAGCUAACUAGCAUUAUGUUAACAUUAACUAACUAGCAUUAUGCUAACACUAGCUAACUAGCAUAAUGCUAACACUAGCUAACUAGCAUAAUGCUAACACUAGCUAACUAGCAUUAUGCUAACAU